CCUUUCGUCCUGACGUUUAGUGCAUUUUAAUUUAAACUAAAUGUUUAAUCAGCACGUAAGAUGAUGUUGGACCAGUUGCUCGGCUUUGCUAGUACCAGUCAUGAUCUCCGUAAGGACAACUCCAGCAUUUGAAACAAGAUCUCAGCGAUCAGCCUCCCCUGCCAUGCUUCCACCGCCUGAAGACAGACAUCCG